UACGGAGGGUGCAAGCGUUGUUCGGAAUUAUUGGGCGUAAAGGGCAGGUAGGUGGUCUUGAAAGUCUGCUGUGAAAUCCCCGAGCUUAACUUGGGAAGUGCGGCAGAUACUCCAAGACUAGAGUACUGGAGGGGUUCGUGGAAUUCCCGGUGUAGUGGUGAAAUGCGUAGAGAUCGGGAGGAACACCAGUGGCGAAGGCGACUACCUGGCCUGUUCUUGACGCUGAGGCGCGAAAGCUGGGGGAGCAAACGGG
rnacentral:rRNA from 1 species